CAGCCGCGUAAUUCCAGCUCCAAUAGCGUAUAUUAAAGUUGUUGCAGUUAAAAAGCUCGUAGUUGAAUUUCGAGAUCAAUUUGUUGGUCGUGCCUCGGUACGUACUGGCAAUUUUGAUUUCUCCCUUCUGAAGAACCAUGAUGUCAUUAAUUUGGUUUCAUGGGGAAUCAGGACUGUUACUUUGAAAAAAUUAGAGUGUUUAAAGCAGGCUCGCGCUUGAAUACAUUAGCAUGGAAUAAUGAAAUAGGACGUUUGAUUCUAUUUUGUUGGUUUCUAGGAUCGACGUAAUGAUUAAUAGGGAUAGUUGGGGGCAUUAGUAUUCAAUUGUCAGAGGUGAAAUUCUUGGAUUUAUUGAAGACUAACUACUGCGAAAGCAUUUGCCAAGGAUGUUUUCAUUAAUCAAGAACGAAAGUUAGGGGAUCGAAGACGAUCAGAUACCGUCGUAGUCUUAACCAUAAACUAUGCCGACUAGGGAUCGGAUGAUGUUAAUUUUUUAAUGACUCAUUCGGCGCCUUACG
rnacentral:misc_RNA from 1 species